CUAAGUGACGUCGCAGUUUCAGGGUCGCUGAGGCCGCCGCUGGCGGCGCAAACCUCGGUGUUUUCUAGUGUCCAGUCUAUGGAGUCAGUUGGUGCCGCCGGCGGUGCGGAGGCAGGUGGCGGUGUCCGAGUGGGGGCGUCUGCCUCGCAAGGAUGUUACCGGGCUUGGCCGCCGCCUCUGCGGCCCACAGAUGUAGCUGCUCUUUUCUGUGCCGGCUCCGUUUGAGCUGUAAGGCAGCGCCCCGCGGCUCCAGCGACCGCCAGGAAUGGCAGAAUUUAGUGACAUUUGGAAACUUUGCAUACAUGCUUCCCUAUCAUCACCCACAUAUUUGUACACUGAGCCAAGUGAAGUUGUACUCUACAAAUAUCCAGAAAGAAGGACAAAGAUCACAAACUCUCAGAGUAGAAAAAUUACCAUCUUUUGGUGAAACAGCAGAAAACAUAGGUGCAGAACUCAAAGCUCCGCUAAAGCAAGAACCUCUCCAAGUAAGGGUCAAAGCAGUUCUUAAGAAAAGGGAGUAUGGAUCAAAAUACACUCAGAAUAAUUUCAUCACUGGAGUCAGAGCAAUAAAUGAGUUCUGCCUCAAAUCCAGUGAUCUGGAACAGCUUCGAAAAAUCAGACGACGCAGUCCCCACGAAGAUACUGAGUCCUUUACUGUAUAUUUGAGAUCAGACGUGGAGGCAAAAUCUUUGGAAGUUUGGGGAAGCCCUGAAGCUCUUGCUAGAGAGAAAAAGCUACGUAAGGAGGCAGAAAUAGAAUACAGAGAACGGCUGUUUAGAAACCAAAAAAUAUUGAGAGAAUAUAGAGAUUUCUUGGGAAACACCAAGCCACGCUCCAGAACAGCAACAGUGUUCUUCAAGGGACCAGGAAAAGUGGUGAUGGUUGCCAUUUGCAUCAAUGGUUUAAACUGCUUCUUUAAAUUUCUUGCAUGGAUUUAUACGGGUUCAGCAAGUAUGUUUUCAGAAGCUAUACACUCAUUAUCUGAUACUUGCAAUCAGGGUUUACUAGCAUUGGGCAUCAGUAAAUCUGUUCAAACACCAGAUCCUACUCAUCCGUAUGGAUUUUCAAAUAUGCGGUAUAUUUCUUCACUAAUUAGCGGUGUUGGUAUUUUUAUGAUGGGUGCAGGACUCUCUUGGUACCAUGGAAUUAUGGGAUUGCUUCAUCCUGAGCCAAUGGAAUCUCUUCUAUGGGCAUAUUGUAUUUUAGCAGGAUCAUUGGUAUCUGAAGGAGCAACACUUCUUGUUGCUGUAAAUGAACUUCGUAGGAGUGCUCGGGCCAAAGGAAUGUCUUUUUAUAAGUAUGUAAUGGAAAGUCGUGAUCCUAGUACCAAUGUUAUAUUAUUGGAGGAUACUGCAGCAGUCUUGGGAGUGACAAUAGCAGCCACUUGCAUGAGCCUUACUUCUAUAACAGGCAAUCCAUUGUAUGACAGCCUCGGUUCUUUGGGUGUGGGCACCUUAUUAGGUGUGGUCUCAGCAUUCCUGAUCUACACUAACACAGAAGCACUCUUAGGACGAUCCAUCCAACCAGAGCAAGUACAACGGCUUACUGAACUCCUGGAAAGUGACCCAUCAGUAAGGGCAAUUCAUGAUGUUAAAGCCACGGAUCUGGGAUUAGGUAAAGUAAGAUUUAAGGCAGAAGUGGAUUUUGAUGGACGAGUUGUUACAAGAUCAUAUUUGGAGAAACAAGAUUUUGACCAAAUGCUACAAAUACCUCUGACUUCAGAAUCUGUGAUGGCAGUUCCAGAGCUGGCCAUGGUGGCACACAUGUAUAAUUCCUCCUUUAAUGAGGACCUGGUUACCGAUUGUUCAGACUUAGGACUGAGGAAAUUCAAGAAGUGAAAACUCCUGAAGAAUUAGAGACCUUUAUGCUUAAACAUGGAGAAAAUAUUAUCGACACUUUAGGAGCUGAAGUAGAUAGGCUGGAGAAGGAACUGAAAAAACGCAAUCCUGAAGUUCGGCAUGUAGAUUUGGAGAUACUCUAAACUUGAUGGAGUGAGUCAUCUUGGCAGAGCAUUGGAAACAAGUUUGUUGUCUCUCUACAAAGCACGCCGUCUCCUUUUCAACCUGAAGGAGGAAGUGCCAUUUGGAAGCCAUUUUUCAAGAUGGAA